rnacentral:ncRNA from 1 species
GUCCCGCUGUACCGAAAAGUCACCGGAGGUGGCCUGCCAGUCGUAAGGCUGGAUAGGAGGCGGGACGCAC